rnacentral:tRNA from 1 species
UGAGGUAUAGCUUGGUGGUACAGCACUUGCCUAGCAUGUGUGAGGCCCUGGGUUCCAUCUCCAGUACCAAAA